AGGGGAGUGAAAAAGAACCUGAAACCGUGUACGUACAAGCAGUGGGAGCCCCACCACUAAGCCAGUGGUGAACUCCACAUACGCAUCCUUUGCUGAGGAUACGGUUAACGGAGCGAAAGCGACGUUCAACCGCAAAAGAAGCAGAGGGGGCUUAGUGGUGGGGUGACUGCGUACCUUUUGUAUAAUGGGUCAGCGACUUAUAUUCUGUAGCAAGGUUAACCGUAUAGGGGAGCCGGAGGGAAACCGAGUCUUAACCGGGCGUUAAGUUGCAGGGUAUAGACCCGAAACCCGGUGAUCUAGCCAUGGGCAGGUUGAAGGUUGGGUAACACUAACUGGAGGACCGAACCGACUAAUGUUGAAAAAUUAGCGGAUGACCUGUGGCUGGGGGUGAAAGGCCAAUCAAACCGGGAGAUAGCUGGUUCUCCCCGAAAGCUAUUUAGGUAGCGCCUCGUGAAUUCAUCUCCGGGGGUAGAGCACUGUUUCGGCUAGGGGGCCAUCCCGGCUUACCAACCCGAUGCAAACUGCGAAUACCGGAGAAUGUUAUCACGGGAGACACACGGCGGGUGCUAACGUCCGUCGUGAAGAGGGAAACAACCCAGACCGCCAGCUAAGGUCCCAAAGUCAUGGUUAAGUGGGAAACGAUGUGGGAAGGCCCAGACAGCCAGGAUGUUGGCUUAGAAGCAGCCAUCAUUUAAAGAAAGCGUAAUAGCUCACUGGUCGAGUCGGCCUGCGCGGAAGAUGUAACGGGGCUAAACCAUGCACCGAAGCUGCGGCAGCGAACGUAUCACUUAAAGCGAUUCAGCGGGUUACGAUUGACGGAGCGAAGCGACGUCAAAGCGUAUACAAAGUCGAGUCGGUUUAAGGAUACGUUCGUUGGGUAGGGGAGCGUUCUGUAAGCCCGUGAAGGUGGCCUGUGAGGGUUGCUGGAGGUAUCAGAAGUGCGAAUGCUGACAUAAGUAACGAUAAAGCGGGUGAAAAGCC
rnacentral:rRNA from 1 species